UAGGGAAUCUUGCGCAGUGGGCGAAAGCCUGACGCAGCCAUGCCGCGUGUAUGAUGAAGGUCUUAGGAUUGUAAAAUACUUUCACCGGGGAAGAUAAUAACGGUACCCGGAGAAGAAGCCCCGGCUAACUUCGUG
rnacentral:rRNA from 1 species